AGUGAACGCUGGCGGUAGGCCUAACACAUGCAAGUCGAACGGCAGCACAGUAAGAGCUUGCUCUUACGGGUGGCGAGUGGCGGACGGGUGAGGAAUACAUCGGAAUCUACUUUUUCGUGGGGGAUAACGUAGGGAAACUUACGCUAAUACCGCAUACGACCUACGGGUGAAAGCAGGGGAUCUUCAUACCUUGCGCGAUCGAAUGAGCCGAUGUCGGAUUAGCUAGUUGGCGGGGUAAAGGCCCACCAAGGCGACGAUCCGUAGCUGGUCUGAGAGGAUGAUCAGCCACACUGGAACUGAGACACGGCCCAGACUCCUACGGGAGGCAGCAGUGGGGAAUAUUGGACAUUGGGCGCAAGCCUGAUCCAGCCAUACCGCGUGGGUGAAGAAGGCCUUCGGGUUGUAAAGCCCUUUUGUUGGGAAAGAAAAGCAGCAGGUUAAUACCCCGCUGUUCUGACGGUACCCAAAGAAUAAGCACCGGCUAACUUCGUG
rnacentral:rRNA from 1 species